ACCCCAAUGACACUAUGAUUGGACCAAAAAUGGUUCUUUCACAAUUUGAUAGGAAUCUAUUCAUCUUUUUCAAUAGAAUUACAGAGCCCUUUCGUGUGAUUACAUAU
rfam:Cucumis melo, WGS project CAJI01000000 data, contig: 04723